UCUUUCAGAUUUUUCACCCGACA
rnacentral:miRNA from 1 species